GGAUUAGAUACCCUGGUAGUCCACGCUGUAAACGAUGGGCACUCGGUGCUGCGGGUAUUGACCCCUGCAGUGCCUUAGUUAACGCGUUAAGUGCCCCGCCUGGGGAGUACGGUCGCAAGGCUAAAACUCAAAGGAAUUGACGGGGGCUCACACAAGCGGUGGAGCAUGUUGCUUAAUUCGAAGCAACGCGAAGAACAUUACCUGGGUUUGACAUGUAUGGAUUAGCUCUUGGAAACAUGAGUGACGCGGCUUGCCGUGGAACAUACACAGGUGCUGCAUGGCUGUCGUCAGCUCGUGCCG
rnacentral:rRNA from 1 species